UAAACUAUUAUUUGAGAUUUACUAUAUUUAUAAGGAAAACAUGUGAAAUAUUAAAAGUCAAACGAUUUAUCAUAUCAUUUCUAGACUAAAGGCCACAAAAAUGUCUAAUGAUUUUUAAUUUUAUUGUUUAAUAAUAUUAAGAUAAUGAGUUAACUUGGAUGGUAUAAAAGCUGUUCGCAAUAUUGAAAUUCAGUUAAAAAUCUUACUUUAAAAACGUACGUCACUGUUUCUUAAAUGUAAGUUAGACUUCAGUAUUUUUUGUUUUGUUAAAAAAAAAUUAGUUUAGAAAUCUUUAAAUUAUAUUCUAAAAUAUCUGAAAUAAAGAUUAGGUGACUUAUUUCUUAAAAAUUGAACCACGAAAUUGUGGAAAUUAUUAAGGGUCCCCUGCAGGGGAACUCAACAAUUUUUCCACAAGAAAUUUUAUUGUUUUUUUUAUAAAUAUAUCAAAUUUUUAUAGAUAUGUUUGAAUUAUUUCUAUUCAAUUCUUUGAAAUUAUAAGAUAUUUACAAUAACAAAUUAGAGUAACUAUUUUUUUCUUUUAUCAUAACUCCAUUAUUAUUAAAAAUACAAAAAAUGUAUUUUAUAUAUUUCAAUAAAUGUUGAAUUUAAAAAAAAUUUCAUUUUAAAAUUUUGCAAUUAUUUUUUUUAAACAAUUUUUAUUUUCAAUUUUUAAAGGUGUUAUGAAUUAAUUUUAAUCCUGAAAAAAUUGUAAAUGAUAUAUUGUUUAUCACAGAAAACUUCAUUUGAAAUUUGUUACUCGUAAGUUUUUGAUGGAAUCAUCACGAUUAUACAGAAAAUCAUAGAGAAAUAAGUUUCAAGGAAAUAUUAUAUACAUUUUUUAAGUUCGACAUAUUGGAUUUUCUAUUUUUCAUUUUCAAAAUCUAAUGCUAAUAUUGAUAUUAAUUUUAUAGCAAAAAAAAAAAAAAAAAAAAAAAGAAAAUGGCAUCUUUCGGAGCUUUAUUCAUGUUGCUAGCAACAAUCUUAAUGAUUUUCGCACCUAGUGUUAUGUCAUACUGUGGUGACCCUGGACGUCAGUGUGACGAUGUUAUUACAUGUUGUACAGGAUAUUGUGAGAGACCAGCAGGACAUCGCUGGGGCUUAUGUCGAAACUGAAGAAUUUCGACAUAAGUUAUAUUUUCAAACAAUUACCAAUAUCGCAUGAAAUAAAAAAUUAUUGUAAAAGAAAGAAAAUAAAAUUGGAACAUUAUAUAAGUAUGAAAAUAAAUUUUUUUUACCAUUAAUUUAUAAAGAAAAUACUUCGUCCUCAUGGACUGUGACUAUACCAUACGGUGCUUUUCUAACGGUAUAAAAAAAAAAGUAUUAAUUUCCUCAACACGUCUGAUUAUUUUCUAUUUACACAAAUGGCACAUAAAAGAAUGAAUAUUUUCCAUUUGUUCGAUUUUGAUUAUAAUUUUGAAACGAAAGAAGGAAAAUUGUUUUUAAUUGUCAUUGUACUUUAUUGUUUGAUAAAAUAUUUUGUAUAAAAAAAAAUUAAGAUAUUUUUAAACUUGGGUAUAAAAACUAACUGAAUUGAAAUUUUUCUAUUAUAAUAUUUUGCUUUCUACUCACUAACGUUCAUCUCUCAUAUAAAAGUAAUUAAAAUGGCAACUUAUGGAGUACUAUUAACGUUAUUGACAACAAUUUUAAUGAUUUUCGCUCCUACUGUUAUGUCCUUUUGUAUUAAAAAAGAUCAUUUAUGCGAUGACGUUAAUCGGUGUUGCAUUGGAACUUGCGACCGUCAACCUGGACAUCGUUGGGGAGUAUGUCGUCGAUAAGAAAUUUUUUUGUAAAUGAAUAAAUGUCAUAACACUUAAAAAAAAAAAUUAUUUUAAAUCACACAAGAGGACUAAUAAUUUUACAUCGUAAAUUUAUAAAACAAUUAUAAUAAAUGAACUAUCGAUUAGAAAAAUAUCUACUCUAUGCAAAGUUUUUGUAAUAUUCUAAUAAAUUUUAUUGACAUUCAA